rnacentral:rRNA from 1 species
UACGAAGGGGGCUAGCGCUGUUCGGAUUUACUGGGCGUAAAGGGCGCGUAGGCGGAUUUUUAAGUCGGGGGUGAAAUCCCGGAGCUCAACUCCGGAACUGCCUUCGAUACUGAAAGUCUGGAGCACGGUAGAGGUGAGUGGAAUUCCUAGUGUAGAGGAGAAAUUCGUAGAUAUUCGGAGGAACACCAGUGGCGAAGGCGGCUCACUGGACCGUUGCUGACGCUGAGGCGCGAAAGCGUGGGGCGCAAACAGG